AACUUUUAACAAUGGAUCUCUAGGCUCUCGCAUCGAUGAAGAACGUAGCAAAUUGCGAUAAUUAUUGUGAAUUGCAUUAGUGAAUCAUCAAAUCUUUGAACGCAACUUGCACUCUGUCGGUAAUAUCGCAGAGUACACUUGUUUCAGUGUUAGAU
rnacentral:rRNA from 1 species